GUCAUAUCACAUCAGCUGUCUUGUGUCGCAGGUUGGAACAAUGUUUGCACGAGCUGCCGUUCUCCUUUUCUGUGUUCUGCGUGUUUACUUUUGCCAGUCAUAACAUGAAAAUUCACCUUGUUUUUAUGACUCAAACAGUGGCCAUAUCAGAAGGAGCAAGAGCGCCAAAUUGCUGGAAGUACUCCUAUGAUUUC